rnacentral:rRNA from 1 species
UACAGAGGGUGCAAGCGUUGUUCGGAAUUAUUGGGCGUAAAGCGCGUGUAGGCGGCUUUGCAAGUCGGGUGUGAAAGCCCUCGGCUCAACCGAGGAAGUGCGCCCGAAACUGCAGAGCUUGAGUACCGGAGAGGAUGGCGGAAUUCCCCAAGUAGAGGUGAAAUUCGUAGAUAUCGGGAGGAACACCAGUGGCGAAGGCGGCUCUCUGGGCAGAUACUGACGCUGAGACGCGAAAGCAUGGGGAGCAAACAGG